rnacentral:rRNA from 1 species
GACGAACGCUGGCGGCGUGCCUAAUACAUGCAAGUAGAACGCUGAAGCUUGGUGCUUGCACCGAGCGGAUGAGUUGCGAACGGGUGAGUAACGCGUAGGUAACCUGCCUGGUAGCGGGGGAUAACUAUUGGAAACGAUAGCUAAUACCGCAUAAGAGUAGAUGUUGCAUGACAUUUGCUUAAAAGGUGCAAUUGCAUCACUACCAGAUGGACCUGCGUUGUAUUAGCUAGUUGGUGAGGUAACGGCUCACCAAGGCAACGAUACAUAGCCGACCUGAGAGGGUGAUCGGCCACACUGGGACUGAGACACGGCCCAGACUCCUACGGGAGGCAGCAGUAGGGAGUCUUCGGCAAUGGACGAAAGUCUGACCGAGCAACGCCGCGUGAGUGAAGAAGGUUUUCGGAUCGUAAAGCUCUGUUGUAAGAGAAGAAACGGGUGUGAGAGUGGAAAAGUUCCACCACUGGG